GUGCACCAGUCGCGAAAACUUCACACUGUGCGAAAGCACGAUGAGGGAAUCCCAAGUGCUUGCACGUAAGUGUAAGCUGUUUCCCUGUCUAAAACGCAGAGAGAGUAAGGGCUGGGUAAGACGGGUGCCAGCCGCCGCGGUAAUACCUGCAGCUCAAGUGGUGACCGUUAUUAUUGGGCCUAAAACGUCCGUAGCCGGUUUAAUAAAUGCCUGGGUAAAUUGUGUAGCUUAACUAUACGAAUUCCGGGUAGACUGUUAAACUUGAGACCGGGAGAAGUUAGAGGUACUCCUGGGGUAGAGGUGAAAUUCUGUAAUCCUAGGGGGACCACCAGUGGCGAAGGCGUCUAACUAGAACGGGUCUGACGGUGAGGGACGAAGCCCUGGGGCGCAAACGGGAUUAGAUACCCCCGUAGU
rnacentral:rRNA from 1 species